AAUAGAUACCCUGGUAGUCCACGCCGUAAACGUUGGGCACUAGGUGUGGGCGGCAUUCCACGUCGUCCGUGCCGCAGCUAACGCAUUAAGUGCCCCGCCUGGGGAGUACGGCCGCAAGGCUAAAACUCAAAGGAAUUGACGGGGGCCCGCACAAGCGGCGGAGCAUGUGGCUUAAUUCGACGCAACGCGAAGAACCUUACCAAGGCUUGACAUACACCGGAAAGCCGUAGAGAUACGGCCCCCCUUGUGGUCGGUGUACAGGUGGUGCAUGGCUGUCGUCAACUCGUGUCGUGAGAUGUUGGGUUAAGUCCCGCAACGAGCGCAACCCUUGUCCUGUGUUGCCAGCAACUCCUUUCGGGGAGGUUGGGGACUCACGGGAGACUGCCGGGGUCAACUCGGAGGAAGGUGGGGACGACGUCAAGUCAUCAUGCCCCUUAUGUCUUGGGCUGCACACGUGCUACAAUGGCCGGUACAAUGAGCUGCGAUGCCGUGAGGUGGAGCGAAUCUCAAAAAGCCGGUCUCAGUUCGGAUUGGGGUCUGCAAC
rnacentral:rRNA from 1 species